rfam:Flavobacterium sp. FPG59 Contig_77, whole genome shotgun sequence.
UUGUAGCCCUGAUAGUAAUGGAAAGCUUUUUAUGAUGGAAAGCCGAUUUUGCAGCGCUAAAAAAGCGACUGCAAGAAGCUCUUUUUAGGGCUAGCAAAACGUGCUUGACACUUAAAAACUUGAAAUGGAUAGCAGGAUGUGCU